rnacentral:rRNA from 1 species
GUAAUUGGAAUGAAUAGAAUUCAAAUUCCUUUACGAGGAUCAAUUGGAGGGCAAGUCUGGUGCCAGCAGCCGCGGUAAUUCCAGCUCCAAUAGCGUAUAUUAAAGUUGUUGCAGUUAAAAAGCUCGUAGUUGCGUUUCUGUUGGGAGGGAUCGUUCCUUGCCUCUGGCUUGGAUUCGUAUCGUCUCCUGACAUCCUUGGGUGGAGCCAUUCUGGCAUUAAGUUGUCGGGGUGGGGAUGCCCAUCAUUUACUGUGAAAAAAUUAGAGUGUUCAAAGCAGGCUUACGCCGUUGAAUAUAUUAGCAUGGGAUAAUAAGAUAGGACUUUGGUACUAUUUUGUUGGUUUGCGCACCAGAGUAAUGACGAAUAGGGACAGUUGGGGGUAUUCGUAUUCAGUUGUCAGAGGUGAAAUUCUUAGAUUUAUUGAAGACGAACUACUGCGAAAGCAUUUACCAAGGAUGUUUUCAUUAAUCAAGAACGAAAGUAUGGGGAUCGAAGAUGAUCAGAUACCGUCGUAGUCUAUACCAUAAACAAUACCGACUCAGGAUAGGC